AAUUAUUACAAAAUUCCAAUUUUAUAUUAUGGAAAUGAAAAUGAUUUUUUUUACCUAUACCAUUUUAAUUAUUAAUUAAAAUGCGUUUGGAAGAAGUUGCUGUAACAUAUAAAAGGAAUCAUCUGAUUUAUUUCUGGUAAUUAUACAAUUAAAAUGAAUGAAUUUGUAUCAAAAGUCUUAACUAAUUUACGAAUUUUUAAUUAUUUCGGAGAUAUACGAGGCGAAAGCAGUUACAAUAGCCCAGAAAUAUUGCAAUGGAGUCGAAUUGACGGAUAUCUGAAUUGUAAUUACUUCCAAAGAAGAUACACGAAUUUCAGCUACGCUCAACGUGCUAAUUAAUAUGCGACAUUCAAAGUGAAACAUAUUUACAUUGGUACUUCCUGUUCUGUCAUACAUCCGACGAUACGUCCUACUAGGAUAGUAUAAAUGCCCCACCAUCAACCAGAUCGGGAUACGAGAACGUUUUCCUCUGUGGUCUUAUAUCUAAAUGGUAAAUAAAUACAUGGUGUGUUUAUCGAGCGAUUUUACGAAGUCGACGAGAGUGUUUCUAUUGAUAAUUAAAUUUAUUACAAAUCCUCCAAAUGGUAUGGAAGAUAAAUUGACGAGAGAAGCACCUAAUUACCCGGUGUAUGGAAACAACGUGUUGCCAUUGCUAGGGCAUUACUAUAGCAACCAUCGACUUUAACAUUGGAUUUUUAUAAACAAGUACAUUGGAUUGAAGUGUACAUUUGGAUAGUACAUUUGAUUCCGUGAAAGCGGAAGAGUGGUUCAAGAAGAAGUUGAAAAAUCUGACCGAAGAAAGAACACCGUUAGCUGUUGCUCAUAGAUUAAGUGUUCUUAAAUCUUUUGAUAUUG